rnacentral:lncRNA from 1 species
CACAAACAGCGUAGCGUCGCUGGAGGCGGAGUCCGGGUUCGCCGGCGCGUCCUCGGCCGAGCCUUGCCGCCUGCAGCGCACGUCAUGGCCAUUUGCACACGACCAGCAGCAGCCGCACGCACCUGCGAUGCCAUCCCCGGCACCGGAGGCCGCCGGUGCCGUACUCAAGUGCGCGGCGGGGAUGGCCGACUGCGACGCCGCGCUGCCGCACCUGGACAGCCUGGGUGCUGUUGGGCGUGAGGGACUGGACCAUGAGCUGGGCAUGGCGUGGGAGAGCUUCCUGAAUGACGGCACCGAUGCCAUGUUGGACAGCGUGCUGGUGGAGGCUUGAAU